rnacentral:lncRNA from 1 species
AGGGAGAGAGAUUGCUUAAGGAUUUGGGAUGAUGAUCCAAGAUUUUGUGUGGUUUUAAUGUUGAUGGAGAUCUAGGAGGGGAUCCUUAGGUUUGGGAUGAGAGAAAAAGGAAGGGUUAUAAGGUUUGAGUCGCCCCAAAUGGGUUUUAAAAGAGAGAGAAAUCAGGUCGGCUUAAAAGAAAAAACCAUGUACCCAUUCAAUUGGGAUGU